GCACAAGUGCAAGGUGUUACUCUUGGACUUGGGACCACUAUGGAGGUGCAGGAAGCCUGGCUAAGGUCGGUCUGUGGAGAUGGCGAGUUUGGUUCUGGGCAGUCAGACCUGGAAGUCAUCCCAGUGUUGAGAAGUCAGUGUUACAUAAACUUGAUGUUCCCUGUCCACGGAUACGGCCACCUUCUGCUAGUUUAACAGACACCACCAGCUCCCAAGAGAAUUCCACAAAAGCCUUUGAUUUAGUGAAGCAAAAGAUUCGAGAGCCAGCUGAGGGAAUCUGCCACAUCUCUUCAGCUCCCACUCCUCUCAGCGGAGAGCCACAGGAGGAAGUUGGAGCGGGGAGGAGGUCUGUGCGCCCGCCACAGCAAGCCAAGGGACUUUAAAAGGGCAGGACUCUGGGGAUAGAGGAGAUAACUCCCAAGCUCCAUCCACUCAUGUUCAGGGAAAGGGAAAGAGAAAGUGACUACUUGUCUUUGUUCUUAAUGGCAAAGAUGGAGCGGCAAGCCUCUAGCAAGGAAGGAGAGAGAGGGGAGAGGAAAAGCUUUCGUAGGAUCACAAGAAACCAGCCCAAAGCUUCCUUCCCUGUCAGCCCUGCCGCGUUUGGGAAAUCCGGGGCUCUACCCGUUCUGCUUCAUUAAGUUGCUGCAGAAAGAAAGAAAAAAAUGUAAUCUCACCUCCAGAUCCAUAGGCUCCUGCCAGAAGCAUGUUGCUGAGAAGAAAUGCAUGUACCCAAGCCAGCAGCAUCCUCGCCUCUCCCGGCUUGCAGGUGACUGAACAGCCAGGGUCCAAAUGGGGUCUCCUUGGCCGCGGUCUUGCCUCCUCGUUCUCAGCCUUGCAGUCAGACCGGCCCUUGUUAUGCUCUUGUGGUAAACAGCCUCUCUUUAGAACUGGGAGCUUCCCAGCUAGCUUGCUGCAGCCGAGGUGUUUUUCAGCGGAAAGGCGCCCCCUGGGUCCUAAGCCUCCUAGACCACACCAGAUCACUAACCCCGAGCCAAGAGAGGAACUCAGCCAAGUCAAGAGUGGCAGAGAGGGUCAGCCUCUGCUUAGCAGCAGAUCCGUCUGAGACCGCAUCCCCAGAGCUUUGCUUCCCUUCUUUUUCCAUCUGUGAGUACAGAGUCAUCGUGUCAGAAGGCAUCGCGGAGUGGGGUGGAUUCCGAGCGCUGAAGCACACGCAGCACAGUAGUAAAAAGAUAAUGCUGGCUACAAAAGCAGGAGGCGUUUAAAACCACAAAGGCAGCACAAAUCAGAAGAAUAUCUGCCUGGAAGCAACUCUCUACCCAUUUGUAUAUAUUUCAACCGUACUUUGCCAGGGUCAGGGUCUCAUGCAACUCAGGCUAACCUCAAACUCUACGAAGCUGAACUUGACCUUGAACUGCUCAUCCUUCUGCAAAGUGCUGGGAUCACAGGUGUACACGUCCACAUCUGUUAACCACAAAGCACCAACUUGAGGAGCACUGGCUAUAACAAGACUGUAAGAGAAAGCAGCUUCCCAUUUGAGGGUGCUGUUAUUAAUCCACUGGUGAGGUGCCACCCCAUUAACUUGCCAGAAUGGAGCUCCCUCUAUUUCCUGUUUAGAAGUGGACCUGAAAUCUCAAGGUAAGUGUCUGAACACUGUCACCACAUAGACACGUGUAUCUCCUUACUGUACAGUCAAAGCAUGAAGCCGACAGCAAUGCCAUGGAGGUAGAAGUCGCCACCAUUUCCCUCCUCGACCCCAGACACCUGCACCAGCACAAGCCUCCUGUUCCUCUGUCGUCACAAGGAAACGGUACUAACUUAAA